GCCACCGUGGUGCAGUGGUUUGAGCGUUGGACUAGGACUCUGGAGACCAGGGUUCAAAUCCCCACUCAGUCA